AUUGAACGCUGGCGGCAUGCUUUACACAUGCAAGUCGGACGGCAGCACAGAGAAGCUUGCUUCUUGGGUGGCGAGUGGCGAACGGGUGAGUAAUAUAUCGGAACGUACCGAGUAAUGGGGGAUAACUAAUCGAAAGAUUAGCUAAUACCGCAUAUUCUCUGAGGAGGAAAGCAGGGGACCUUCGGGCCUUGCGUUAUUCGAGCGGCCGAUAUCUGAUUAGCUAGUUGGUGGGGUAAAGGCCUACCAAGGCGACGAUCAGUAGCGGGUCUGAGAGGAUGAUCCGCCACACUGGGACUGAGACACGGCCCAGACUCCUACGGGAGGCAGCAGUGGGGAAUUUUGGACAAUGGGCGCAAGCCUGAUCCAGCCAUGCCGCGUGUCUGAAGAAGGCCUUCGGGUUGUAAAGGACUUUUGUCAGGGAAGAAAAGGCUGUUGCUAAUACCGACAGCUGAUGACGGUACCUGAAGAAUAAGCACCGGCUAACUACGUGCCAGCAGCCGCGGUAAUACGUAGGGUGCGAGCGUUAAUCGGAAUUACUGGGCGUAAAGCGGGCGCAGACGGUUACUUAAGCAGGAUGUGAAAUCCCCGGGCUCAACCUGGGAACUGCGUUCUGAACUGGGUGACUAGAGUGUGUCAGAGGGAGGUAGAAUUCCACGUGUAGCAGUGAAAUGCGUAGAGAUGUGGAGGAAUACCGAUGGCGAAGGCAGCCUCCUGGGAUAACACUGACGUUCAUGCUCGAAAGCGUGGGUAGCAAACAGG
rnacentral:rRNA from 1 species